rnacentral:rRNA from 1 species
UACGUAGGGAGCAAGCGUUAUCCGGAUUUACUGGGUGUAAAGGGCGCGUAGGCGGGUAUGCAAGUCAGAUGUGAAAUUUAUGGGCUCAACCCAUAGCGUGCAUUUGAAACUGUGUAUCUUGAGUGAUGGAGAGGUAAGUGGAAUUCCUAGUGUAGCGGUGGAAUGCGUAGAUAUUAGGAGGAACACCAGUGGCGAAGGCGACUUACUAGACAUUAACUGACGCUGAGGCGCGAAAGCGUGGGGAGCAAACAGGAUUAGAUACC